rnacentral:rRNA from 1 species
AGCGAACGCUGGCGGCAGGCCUAACACAUGCAAGUCGAACGAACCUUUCGGGGUUAGUGGCGGACGGGUGAGGAACAGGUGGGAACGUGCCUUUAUGUUCGGAAUAACUCAGGGAAACUGGUGCUAAUACCGAAUGGUCCCUUAGGGGGAAAGAUUUAUCGCGUUUAAAGCGGCCCGAGUCUGAUUAGCUGGUUGGUUGAGGUAAUGGCUCACCCAGGCGGCGAUCAGUAGCUGGUCAGAGAGGAUGAUCAGCCCCAUUGGGACUGGGACACGGCCCAAACUCCUCCGGGAGGCAGCAGUGGGGACGCUUGCGCAAUGCGCGAAAGCCUGACACCGCCAUGCCGCAUGACUGAUGAAGGUCUUAGGAUUGUAAAAUUCUUUCACCGGGGACGAUAAUGCCGGUACCAGGAGAAGAAGCCCCGGUUACCUUCGU